rnacentral:rRNA from 1 species
CAGGCCUAACACAUGCAAGUCGAGCGAGAAAGUUCUUCGGAACGAGUACAGCGGCGGACGGGUGAGUAACGCGUAGGAAUCUACCUAGUAGUGGGGGACAACAUGUGGAAACGCAUGCUAAUACCGCAUACGCCCUACGGGGGAAAGCGGGGGACCUUCGGGCCUCGUGCUAUUAGAUGAGCCUGCGUUAGAUUAGCUAGUUGGUGGGGUAAAGGCCUACCAAGGCGACGAUCUAUAGCUGUUCUGAGAGGAAGAUCAGCCACACUGGGACUGAGACACGGCCCAGACUCCUACGGGAGGCAGCAGUGGGGAAUAUUGCACAAUGGGCGCAAGCCUGAUGCAGCCAUGCCGCGUGUGUGAAGAAGGCUCUAGGGUUGUAAAGCACUUUCAGUGGGGAGGAAAAGCGCAUAGUUAAUAGCUAUGUGCCCUGACGUUACCCACAGAAGAAGCACCGGCUAACUCCGUGCCAGCAGCCGUGGUAAUACGGAGGGGGUUAGCGUUGUUCGGAAUUACUGGGCGUAAAGCGCACGUAGGCGGACUGGAAAGUUGGGGGUGAAAUCCCAGGGCUCAACCCUGGAACUGCCUCCAAAACUAUCAGUCUAGAGUUCGAGAGAGGUGAGUGGAAUUCCGAGUGUAGAGGUGAAAUUCGUAGAUAUUCGGAGGAACACCAGUGGCGAAGGCGGCUCACUGGCUCGAUACUGACGCUGAGGUGCGAAAGUGUGGGGAGCA